AUGAUUAGAUUAUUGGGCAAGACUAACAAUCUCUCACAAUGCAAGCAAUUGAAAAAUCAUCAUAUUGUACGUGCUGUGGGAUUGAUUAAAACCACGUUGGAGGAUAUUCAAGAGAUAAGGCAUAAUGGUUGGGAUGAGCUCUUUAAAGAGGUAACCGACUUUUGUGUCAAAUACAACAUUGUAGUGCCAAAUAUGGAAGAUAUAAGAACUGCUAAUGGGCGUUCAAGAACUUGGGGUGGGCAAUUGGUAACAUACAACCACCAUUUCAAAAAUGAAGUAUUCAAUGUGUUGCAUGAUCAACUUAUUGCGGAGUUAAACAACCGCUUUGCUGAAAGGUCUACUCAAUUGUUGAGAUGCAUUGCUUGUCUUGAUCCCAAGAAUUCAUUUGCCAAUUAUAAUGAAGACAAGCUAGUAGAUCUUGCUAAUAUGUAUGAUGCUGAUUUCUCUACAUAUGAAGUUGCUUUUGUCCUUAGAAACCAACAAUUAGACUCAUUCAUUCGGGAAGCAAGAACAGAUCCACAUUUGAUGAAUUGA
rnacentral:rRNA from 1 species